rnacentral:rRNA from 1 species
GUGGGGAAUAUUGGGCAAUGGGGGAAACCCUGACCCAGCCACGCCGCGUGAGUGAUGAAGGCCUUCGGGUCGUAAAGCUCUGUGGGGAGGGACGAAAAUACGCCGACUAAUACUCGGUGGACUGACGGUACCUCCUUAGCAAGCACCGGCUAACUCCGUGCCAGCAGCCGCGGUAAUACGGAGGGUGCAAACGUUGCUCGGAAUUAUUGGGCGUAAAGCGUGCGUAGGCGGUCCGGCAAGUCGGAUGUGAAAGCCCUCGGCUCAACCGAGGAAGUGCAUUCGAAACUAUCGGACUUGAGUACCGGAGAGGGUGACGGAAUUCCCGGUGUAGAGGUGAAAUUCGUAGAUAUCGGGAGGAACACCAGUGGCGAAGGCGGUCACCUGGACGGAUACUGACGCUGAGGCACGAAAGCGUGGGGAGCAAACAGGAUUAGAUACCCGGGUAGUCC